GAUGAACGCUGGCGGCGUGCCUAAUACAUGCAAGUCGAGCGAACAGACGAGGAGCUUGCUCCUCUGACGUUAGCGGCGGACGGGGGAGUAACACGGGGAUAACCUACCUAUAAGACUGGGAUAACUUCGGGAAACCGGAGCUAAUACCGGAUAAUAUAUUGAACCGCAUGGUUCAAUAGUGAAAGACGGUUUUGCUGUCACUUAUAGAUGGAUCCGCGCCGCAUUAGCUAGUUGGUAAGGUAACGGCUUACCAAGGCAACGAUGCGUAGCCGACCUGAGAGGGUGAUCGGCCACACUGGAACUGAGACACGGUCCAGACUCCUACGGGAGGCAGCAGUAGGGAAUCUUCCGCAAUGGGCGAAAGCCUGACGGAGCAACGCCGCGUGAGUGAUGAAGGUCUUCGGAUCGUAAAACUCUGUUAUUAGGGAAGAACAAAUGUGUAAGUAACUAUGCACGUCUUGACGGUACCUAAUCAGAAAGCCACGGCUAACUACGUG
rnacentral:rRNA from 1 species